rnacentral:rRNA from 1 species
AUGCACGCUGGCGGCGUGCUUCACCCAUUCAAGUCGAACGGAAAGGCUCCUGCUUGCAGGGGUACUCGCGUGGCGAACGGGUGAGUAACACGUGGGUGAUCUGCCCUGCACUUCGGGAUAAGCCUGGGAAACUGGGUCUAAUACCGGAUAGGACCACAUUUUGGAUGGUGUGGUGGAAAGUUUUUCGGUGUGGGAUGAGCUCGCGGCCUAUCAGCUUGUUGGUGGGGUAAUGGCCUACCAAGGCGUCGACGGGUAGCCGGCCUGAGAGGGUGUACGGCCACAUUGGGACUGAGAUACGGCCCAGACUCCUACGGGAGGCAGCAGUGGGGAAUAUUGCACAAUGGGCGCAAGCCUGAUGCAGCGACGCCGCGUGGGGGAUGACGGCCUUCGGGUUGUAAACUCCUUUCGCUAGGGACGAAGCGUUUUUGUGACGGUACCUGGAGAAGAAGCACCGGCUAACUACGUG